rnacentral:misc_RNA from 1 species
UCUCCGUAGGUGAACCUGCGGAAGGAUCAUUAUUGUAUAACCGAGGUGCGAGGGCAGUCGCUGACCCGAAAGGUCGUGCACGCCCGAGUGCCCUCACACACAUCCAUCUCACCCCUAUGUGCACCACCGCGUGGGUCCCCCUUUGGCUUGUUCGGAGGGGGGCUUACGUUUUCACACAAACUUUGUAUGCAGUGUAGAAUGUAUUUUUUGUUUUUGCGAUCACGCAAUCAAUACAACUUUCAACAACGGAUCUCUUGGCUCUC